GACAGAGGGUGCAAACGUUGUUCGGAAUUACUGGGCGUAAAGGGCGCGUAGGCGGCCACCGCAAGUCGACUGUGAAAUCUCCGGGCUUAACCCGGAAAGGUCAGCCGAUACUGCGGGGCUAGAGUGCAGAAGGGGCAACUGGAAUUCUCGGUGUAGCGGUGAAAUGCGUAGAUAUCGAGAGGAACACCUGCGGCGAAGGCGGGUUGCUGGGCUGACACUGACGCUGAUGUGCGAAAGCUAGGGGAGCGAACGGG
rnacentral:rRNA from 1 species